rnacentral:rRNA from 1 species
GGGUUCAAUCAUACCAGUACUAAUGCACCGGAUCCCAUCAGAACUCCGCAGUUAAGCUUUUGGGUAAGAAUAGUACUAACAUGGGCUUUCUCACAGGACUUUCACAGACACA